rnacentral:rRNA from 1 species
UACAUGUGGGGCAAGCGUUGUUCGGAAUUACUGGGCAUAAAGGGUGCGUAGGCGGUUUGUUUAGUCACUGGUGAAAGUUUUCGGCCCAACCGGAAAAUUGCCUGUGAUACUGGCGAACUUGAGUGCGUGAGGGGUGGGGGGAACGAGCAGUGUAGCGGUGAAAUGCGUAGAUAUUGCUCGGCAGGCCGGAGCCGAAGGGGCCCCACUGGUACGUAACUGACGCUGAGGCACGAAAGCGUGGGGAGCAAACAGG